UACGUAGGGGGCAAGCGUUGUCCGGAUUUAUUGGGCGUAAAGCGUCCGCAGGCGGUCUAUCAAGUUCGGGGUGACAGUGCUCGGCUUAACCGAGUAAGUGCUUCGAAAACUGGUGGACUUGAGGGCUUCAGAGGAAAGCGGAAUUCCGGGUGGAGUGGUGAAAUGCGUAGAUAUCAGGAGGAAAACCUGUGGCGAAAGCGGCUCACUGGACAAAAACUGACGCUGAGGCGCGAAAGAUAGGGGAGCAAACAGG
rnacentral:rRNA from 1 species